GGUUAAGCGACUAAGCGUACACGGUGGAUGCCCUGGCAGUCAGAGGCGAUGAAGGACGUGCUAAUCUGCGAUAAGCGUCGGUAAGGUGAUAUGAACCGUUAUAACCGGCGAUUUCCGAAUGGGGAAACCCAGUGUGUUUCGACACACUAUCAUUACGUGAAUACAUAGCGUAAUGAAGCGAACCGGGGGAACUGAAACAUCUAAGUACCCCGAGGAAAAGAAAUCAACCGAGAUUCCCCCAGUAGCGGCGAGCGAACGGGGAGCAGCCCAGAGUCUGAAUCAGCUUGUGUGUUAGUGGAACGGUCUGGAAAGUCCGACGGUACAGGGUGAUAGUCCCGUACACCAAAAUGCACAGGUUGUGAACUCGAAGAGUAGGGCGGGACACGUGGUAUCCUGUCUGAAUAUGGGGGGACCAUCCUCCAAGGCUAAAUACUCCUGACUGACCGAUAGUGAACCAGUACCGUGAGGGAAAGGCGAAAAGAACCCCGGCGAGGGGAGUGAAAAAGAACCUGAAACCGUGUACGUACAAGCAGUGGGAGCCUCUUUAUGGGGUGACUGCGUACCUUUUGUAUAAUGGGUCAGCGACUUAUAUUCUGUAGCAAGGUUAACCGUAUAGGGGAGCCGAAGGGAAACCGAGUCUUAACUGGGCGUUAAGUUGCAGGGUAUAGACCCGAAACCCGGUGAUCUAGCCAUGGGCAGGUUGAAGGUUGGGUAACACUAACUGGAGGACCGAACCGACUAAUGUUGAAAAAUUAGCGGAUGACUUGUGGCUGGGGGUGAAAGGCCAAUCAAACCGGGAGAUAGCUGGUUCUCCCCGAAAGCUAUUUAGGUAGCGCCUCGUGAACUCAUCUUCGGGGGUAGAGCACUGUUUCGGCUAGGGGGUCAUCCCGACUUACCAACCCGAUGCAAACUGCGAAUACCGAAGAAUGUUAUCACGGGAGACACACGGCGGGUGCUAACGUCCGUCGUGAAGAGGGAAACAACCCAGACCGCCAGCUAAGGUCCCAAAGUCAUGGUUAAGUGGGAAACGAUGUGGGAAGGCACAGACAGCCAGGAUGUUGGCUUAGAAGCAGCCAUCAUUUAAAGAAAGCGUAAUAGCUCACUGGUCGAGUCGGCCUGCGCGGAAGAUGUAACGGGGCUAAA
rnacentral:rRNA from 1 species